ACGCUCGACACCUACGGAGGCAGCAGUGGGGAAUAUUGCACAAUGGGGGAAACCCUGAUGCAGCGACGCCGCGUGAAGGAAGAAGUAUUUCGGUAUGUAAACUUCUAUCAGCAGGGAAGAAGAAAGUGACGGUACCUGACUAAGAAGCCCCGGCUAACUACGUACCAGCAGCCGCGGUAAUCUGAGCGGGCUGGCAAGGC
rnacentral:rRNA from 1 species